rnacentral:lncRNA from 1 species
GUUUUACAAAGUGCUGGGUAGGAUAAUUUCCCUGAAAUUUUCCCUGGAUUUUAAUGACCUGAAGGAUUAUUCAAAAUUUCUUCCAGAACGCUAAAUGGAAGGGCGUGUGGUCUAGUCUGUAGUUUCCCCACUGUUUUUCUGGACGGGUCACACCUCUCGACUCAGCAGGCCACCCGAGAGGAGCGCCCUCCCCUGCUCUCUCAGCUGUAAUUUGUGGGAAUUACUUGUUGUAGAUGGUAUCCACUCCCUUCCCAUCUCUGCCCCCUCCACCUCUGCUUUGCUGCUGCCCUCCUCUCCUCAGUCAGGUGCAGCACAGCCCUCGGACAGGUGUUCCUACAGCGCUGCAGCAGGCUCUCGCUGUAACGCCUCCUUCACUCCAGCCUGCCCCUAACUUCCCCACCUGCAUUACAACUUGUCUUCUCUUUGUUUCAGGUGCUGUUUAAAUUAUGAAGACUUAUUCAGUGUAAAUCGUGCAUAUGCCUCCUAAUGUUUUGCGUUUUAAUUACAGAUGGCUUUAGAAAUCCUUCUUGUUGUGGAAGACAGAAACCCAACUUUAACAAGCUUGAGCAAAAAAAUUUCCUAUAUAGAAUUUGCUAUAUGGAUGUGGGGUUACUUCACACACUUCGAGGGCAGGAGUGUGGCUAAGCCUCAGGAACAUUGUCCCAACCAUCCGCGGCCAGGCUGGACUCAAGCUAUACUAACAUGGUGGCUCCCGCACUAUUGAUGAAGUCUGGCCUGGGCGAGUGAGACUGGGGAGCUGAGGUGACAGUUCCCAGAAGAAGGUAUGCUCUUUGGCAGACAAAAAGUGUUUACUACAGUUAAUACUAGUGAUUUUGAAAUUGAUUAUAAUAUAUUCCCUACUUACUUACACGACUGCUUGAUGCAGUAAAGCACCAGGUGUGUCUGUUCCCAUUUUAUAGAUGAGGAAACCAACGUAAGAGAAGUUACAUGAUUUGUCCAGGGACUCACAGCUGGUAAGUUAUAGAGAUGGAACUCAAGUCUUUUGCACCACCUCCUCCUCCUAGAGUCUUCAAUUCUUAAAAUAAAUCACCUCUGUUGUUCAGGUCUUUUUUGUCUAUUUGAAGGAAACAACAUUCUGGAUUAAUUUUGAGUAAAAGUACCCUGAAGGCACACUGAAUUUUCAGACUUGGACAGAUGAUCCUCUGAUGGAGCUGUAGUGUUUCCAUUUCUCUUUUAUUUGGGAGAAGGGCUAUUCUCCAUGCUCCCCUUUUCUUUUGAUUUCCUAUUGGCAUCUCUGUUUUGCUCCAUGCUUUUCAACAUUCAAGCCAGAUGCUAACUGUCUGUGUGAAGACACACUACUUCUAAAAUAUACCAAGAUGCCAAAUGUAUGUGUAAUAUUUGACCAUAUGUGAAUAUUCCAGUAAACUCCUGGGGACUUAUGUUCCAGUGUCAACACUAAACAACAGAAAGACUGUAAAUUCCAUCAGAAUCCAACCAGAAGAGAUGCAUAUGCCUCAUAUUUAUAAAUAUCCAAUAGACGUAAUGCAUUCUAAAUUUAACUUUUUAGUAUGAUAGAGUUGUUGCAUGCUAUCUCCAUGGAGCACAGCAGCUUGCAAAUGUACAAAUCGAUGGGACCUCCUCAGGUUAUUGUUGUCAUUACUAAUCAUAGCAAUUGGCUAUUGUAUAGAAACUUGCAAGCAAGGAACAUUUCUCAAGAAGAAUCCUAAAAGAAAAGAAGAGAAGAAUGUGUAAGCGUUAGGCAAAAGAUACAUUAAAAAAAUAAAGGAUUAUACUAUCUAUACUACAUGAACCAGGAAAAUUCCCCUGAAGCUGGACAGAGUGGCAUUAAAUUCUGGGACUUUAAGCAAAACAUUUCAAAGGACACACGAUACAGGCUAGAAUUUUGAGAAAUGUCUCCUCUGCUGCCCUCUCGGCCCCUGCAUCCUCUAGAGAUGCUGGUCUAAUCAUCAUUAAAAAGCAAAAGCACAAAGCAAAAUCACUUCAGGAGCAUUUACUACACACAAAGCUUUGUUUUGGACCUGGUGGGAGUUAAUGAGAUGAAACAGACAGGGCUUGGUUCUCAAGUCACUCAUGGUUUAGUACAGGGAAUCUCCAUUGUCAUCAAAGUGACAGAAUACAAGCCAGGAAGCAGGAGCAAAAGGCAACACUUCUUUGGAAUGGUCCAGAAUUGAGAGAGGCUGAGCCUCUUAGCUUGCCUCUGAGCUGGGGAAAGGAUCUGGUAAAAAGGGGGCUCUCUUACUGAACUGUACUCUCUUUUUCUAGCAAGUAUUAAGAGUCCUAUUGGUAAUAAUAACA